rnacentral:rRNA from 1 species
UAGGGAAUCUUCCGCAAUGGACGAAAGUCUGACGGAGCAACGCCGCGUGAGCGAAGAAGGUCUUCGGAUUGUAAAGCUCUGUUGUUAGGGAAGAACAAGUGCUGUUCGAAGAGGGCGGCACCGUGACGGUACCUAACGAGAAAGCCACGGCUAACUACGUG